AUUACACACCACAGUUUACAAAGGACAAAGACAUUGCAAAUCUCUCUUUAUCUUUAUAUCUCUAUAUAAGCCCUCUCGAAUUGAUGGGUGAAAUUCACCACUGCGCUCUCCAGAUUGGCUGGGACAGACUCUGGGACAUCCAGAUUGGUCGUCUGGCUGUGAGGGCUGUUAUGAUUGGUUUUCCUGCAGAGAGGUCAUCCCAGACAGACGUCUGACCGGUGGGCGGUGUGUGUGGCGGUGUGUGUGGCGGUGUGUGUGUGUAUUCUGACGCAUUGCUGCAGUGCCCUCCAUGCAAAUAGCUGUGCAACGCUAUUUCACCUCUUAGACACACAUAUGGAAGCAUUCAAGCAUGAAUGUAUAAGGGUGUGUGUGUGUAAACUGUAAUGACAUUAUGGAACAGUUGUAAUAUGUGUUCAGAUUAUUAUUACUGUUCUCCUCUGUUCAGACCCGGCAUAUUAGCACUCUGUCUCCAUGACAACCAGCAAAUCCUCCACCACCACCAGCUCCGCAACAAAGAUACCACAGCCCCCUUUACACACACACACACACACACACACACACUGAGAGAACCAGACCGCCAGUCUCUUUAGCAGGAAGUUAGUACAGAG
ensembl:lncRNA